AUACGAAGGGAGCAAGCGUUAUUCGGAAUUACUGGGCGUAAAGAGCGUGUAGGCGGUUUGUUAAGUCAGUUGUUAAAGACCAUGGCCUACCCAUGGAAGAGCAAUUGAUACUGGUGAACUAAGAGGGCAAGAGAGAGAAGUGGAAUUCUCGGAGUAGCGGUAAAAUGCGUAGAUCUCGAGAGGAACACCGAUGGCGAAGGCAGCUUCUUGGCUUGCGCCUGACGCUGAGACGCGAAAGCGUGGGUAGCAAACAGGAUUAGAUACCCCGGUAGUCC
rnacentral:rRNA from 1 species